rnacentral:tRNA from 1 species
GACUUAAAAUUCGUUGGCUUUAUAGACCAUGAGG